CUCUGGGAAUCUGAGCUCAAAGGCCCCCAGAAUGCUCUGAACAAGGAGAAGCAGCAGGGAACUGGUGUCAAGGCGGGCACAGCAAUCUAAUUCAAUGUCUUUUAAAUUUGCAGGCAUGUAAUUUCUCAUUUUCCUGCUUUCUAUGGACUCUAAAUUACGUGCAAAUGAGAGAGAACGGAAAACAUAUAAUCUUAUUCAUGAGGUCAGGGCAGAAGAAACAUCUGUGGCAUCAGAACGAUAGUACUUCAAAGGAGAGGUUUAACAAAUGCCUGCUGGGCUGUUCAUCAUAAUGGUGGUAGCAGAGAGUACAGCAUAACAAGACUUCUGUGCUUUUAAAACUAUGAAAGGUCCUAAGAGAUACAAGAAGUUCAAAUCCAUACCCAAUAAAGAAUAAUCAGGAUUUUGUGUGUGAAAGGGCAGGAAAACACUCUCCUGCCCUGUGUGAAGAAGAGUGGUCUUGAACUAUCUGUCUUAAAGAGCAGGAUAAAGGAGCAUCAGGUAGAUAAAUCACCAAUGCCCUCUCUGUGUGACUUGUAGCAGGUCCAAGAGGUACCUUCCACUUCUUUUAUUGACCAUGAAUUGUCAAAACACAUGUGAACUACAGCGCGAUUCUGAAUCAGGGCGAGAGCGGAGGAUGAAGCCUUCACCUUCUUAGGAAGAAGAUGAAGCCAAUAAUCCAGAGGUCACCUGGGAUGUGGGCCUUCUGAUUUAAGGGCUUCUUUUGGGUCAGGUAUGUAGACUGCAUUUUUUGUAGCCCUAGUUAAUGCUCUUACCAUCAAGACCUUGGUCAUUCUUCUACAGAGAAAACAAGGAGACCUGCUCUGCAAUGUGGAACUGCAAAGUCUUUAUUGAUGACAAACAGUAUGGGAAUUGAUGUAGUGCUAGGAAAAGUUUUAGAAUAGAAAUUCCUGGAUCUCUCCAGGAAGUGGGAAAAAAGUCAAGGCAACAGGAGCACAAUUCAUGCCGUAGCUCCCUGCUAAGCAGAGCUCAGACCGCUUGUUUGCCAGGAAUUACUGGGGAAGCCAUUCGGAGUUAGUUACUCCACACAGAACUGAGAAGAGGUUUUGGACUUCCUCUUAGAGAUGAAGUUCCUUCAACCCAGUUGUGCUAUUAUUUAACUAGCAUUACCUAGAAAAGGCUUGUAUGAAGCCUAAACUGUGUCUGAAAACUGUAACUUUUGCAUGUACCAUUGUAAAUGCAAAUAACUACUGAUCGAAUAUGUCUAUUUUUAGUGCCAUUAAUCUUGUGCGUUGUCUCAAGAUAGGAUGCCUUCCCAUGCUGCCCUGCUGAAUGUAUUUUAUUCAUAAUCUGGAGCCUAGUAAGUCAGGAAGUUACAUUUCAGUGAAGAAGGUCAAUGAGUAAAAUGAGAGACAACAUUGACUUUUUUUUUCAUACCUUCACCUCAUUAAUGAAUAAUGCCUAGGCACAAGAGGAGACUUAUGGAUGUAACUAUAAUAGUAGCAGCCAACAGCCAACAGUUAGACACUGCUAUUGUGUUUGCAUUAUGCCUCUUGGGCAGAUCUUAGAUAAGUGAAAGGCAGUAUAAUUGCUAGACCAGGUUUACCUUACACGUGGAGCCCAAUCUGUUGGAAAAGUGAAUAUUCUUUUCCCCUAGAAAUGUUUCAUGAAAGUAUGGAUAGACACUCUUUAAUUUAGAAAAGACAAAAUGUUUUAUUUGAUAUCAAAUAGCAUCUGACUUUAAUGACUUUAAAAUUGAAAAGAAAAUAAUGAAUAUUGAAACAAUGUCAUGUUUGAAUAUUCCAGUAAUAGUUCUGUAUGUUCUGGAUUAUUACUGACUUUCAUGAAAUAAUGCAAAAACUAUAUUGAGUAAGAAAUAGAAUUUAAAAUGCAAUUCUAAACAAAAUUCUGGGGUUCUGAGUUGAAGACAGCAUAACUUGGCAGCUUUCCAAAUCUUAAUUACAAACUGAACAAAAAAAAUUUUUUUAGUAUUUUUUUCCUCACUAGCUAAAACAUCCAGGGUUCAGCCAGCUGGAGGGAGUUAGAGUAUUUGUGACUGCCUCUUACAUAUGCAUGAAUACCUUGUGAAGAAAUUUGGCAUUAGUGAAUGUUUCAGGAGAUUUUAUCCUGUUUUUUGUUAGCAUUUGGAGAGGAACCAGAAAUGCAAAUUAAUUUUGCUGUUCCUUUGCAGAGUUAGUUAAUCAGUAUUAAAAGAUCAGAGAGCUACACAGCUCUCUCUGAUAGCCAGCCAGAAGUUCUGAUUAUGAUUUGUUUUUCCCCUUUUUAACAGAUUAUUCUGCUUGAAGUCUGGCUGUUAUUUUGGCUGCCUAUCUAGAAAGCUCACUAGCAAAUAUUUUUCUUUUGACAGCAUGUCAGCCAGACUUAGAAAUGUCUCUCAAAAAAUUGCUAGUGCAGAGUUUAGAACUGGUUUCUACUGCUGUAUAGACGUUCAAGUGUGGGGGAAGAUUGGGAGAGGGAUUGUUUUAAAAGUGAAAGGCAAUUGGGAACAUUGGACUGACCAAGUCUUUAGCAUACACAGCUGAGAUCUGCCUUAUGUGUUCAUAAGUAAUUUUAGUGCUAUUGCUGAUAUAAAGGAAGGUAAGUGCAAGUGAAAGAUCUCUUCAUAAAUUGUGUGCGCAUUUACUGCAGUAGAAGUCAGGAACUAGAAACUCUACUAGUUACAAAUAGGCUUUUGGAGCACUUACUGUUGAUUAUAAACUCCAGGAUAACUAACUUUUAAAUUAUAAUUUUCAAAAUACAGUUAAGUUUAGCAACCUUAUGAGGCAUCACACCAAAACAAGCAUACUGAUUUUGAACUGCUUCAUUAGAGAAGAGUCCUUGAGGGAAACAAGCUUGAGUGAGGCAGCUGUCAUUACAACGUCAGCACAUCAGUCCCUGAACAAAACAAGGAAAAGGGAAGGAGAAACAAAUAUUUUUAUAACCACAAUUGAAUAGCCUACUCAUGCAGAUAGAAGUUAUGUGAUCUCAGCAAGCAUCUUGCCAAAUACCAACCUACUGAAAUCAAGGAGUGUUAAUACUGACAAGUCGGAAUGCCAAAAGGAGAGCAAAGAGAAAAUUUGAACAGCUUGAAGCCAGAGAUGAACAAAAAUGACCAGAUAUCCAUUUUGUAGUAACUCGCAUGUAAUAAGUCUGCUGGAAAAUGGAACUACCACAGAAUAAGUGACAUCAGUCAUCUGAGAUGAUUUCUUUGCAUCCGUUUUUACCAAAGAGAUUGAUUGACCCAUUUUCAGACCUAUUUUUCAGUACAGAUGAAGUAUGGACAGGACUGUGACAUGAAGAGCCUAAAGCAAGCACUUUUUAAAGGAGAAAUAUGCAGCUGGGUUUCUUUUAAAUGGUAAUGCAGAUCUGCAGGAUCCAUUCUAAGUCUGGAAAGUGAAGAGACAGGAAUGAUUUAGUAAUACGUGGAAACGUUUAAAUAUACAUUUAAUAUGAAAUAUACGAAAUAUACGAAAAACGUUUAAAGUGGGAAAAAAACCCAUCAGUUUUACCCCGAAGAACAGAGCAAUGAUACACUGAGUCUCUGUGGUGUUAUAAAACUACUACAUCUUCACAGGGUGGAUGUCAAGAGUUUUUUUUUCAGAGGUCUGCUGUCUUUAUUGGGGUCUCAAGAAGAGUGGGAGAUUGUAGUGAGUAUAUAGCAGGAUGCUUUUGCUAUGUAUGUACUGUACUGCUGGACAGCCAUGAAAGCAGCUAGAUGCAUGGUGUAUUCCAAAAAUCACUGGUUUCCACUCACGUGUUAGCAGUGUAGUAGCUGUAAGUCUGUUCAGACUUUUCCCUGCUUUCUGUUUUUUUUCUCAGAUGUACAUUUUUUUCUGAAGAUAAGUUUCAGUUCUUCGGAAAUGUCACUCUUAACCACUUUUUAUCAUCACUCUUGGACUUACGUUCUACUGAAUUAUUGAAAGCUGGCUGACAUGAUAUUUCAUAGGAGUUUCACAAAAAUAUUAUGUUUUUCAGGCCUUGUCUCAUCUGGACUACCCUUAAAGAGAAUACAAACCUACAUCCUAAAAAUGUUCUCGCCAUUUGCCUGCAUACGUUGGUAGAACUGACGCUUUGGAGCAAUUACCAGAGUCUAAAGGUCACAGCACAGAAAGCUAAGCCCUAUACUGCUGAAAAACUAUGUUUCAGCUGUUAUCAGCAGGAUGAUCUUUGACAUGAGUUAUAUCAGUUCUGGUAAUUUUUAUUCCGAGAUGUAAGAGUGAUACGCAUGACUUCUUAAAAUAAAGGUGGCUUAUUCAAAUAUACAUUCCCAUCCUAGUGAAUUCCCGAUAUUAAAUUAAGUGUUUCCUAUUGCAUCUUUCAGUUUCUACAGUCGAAAAGAUUUCUGAUGGGAAAUUUCCAGCUGCACUCUGGGAUAUGAACAGAUCACGUUGUACCUUGUUAAAUAACUGUGUUAUAAUAACUAAUUAUAAUAAUCUCUCUCUACUGAUAGAUGAGCACAAGAUAAAUUCCUUCCCCUCUUGAUCUCUGUUCACUCUGUUCCAGGCUGUUAGACAAACAACUUGAUGUAUUUCACCAAAGACAUUUUUAUUAUCACCCAUAAUCUCCAAGGCAUAAGUUGCAUACAUUUUCCUAAAGAAAGACAGGAAAAAGUAAAUGCUGUUUCCAAAAUGCAUUUUAAAAAUGUCUUUGUCAUAUUUCUAAAGGGAAUGCCAUAAUAUCCAGUCCUCUCCCCUGCAACCUGCUCCUUGGCAAAGAAGCUUUGACUGGCGCUCUCGUAGCGAAAGCCCCCUCCGUUGCUGGUAUGUUGGUACGAUGGGGUGAGGGGCUCCGGCUGAUCCCUUGGCCACUCCUCACCUUGUGUUAACACCCUGGGGACUUGUUGAAAGGUGUGAUGCCUGAGGGCUAUUAGUCAGCCCCAAACCACUUUCAACUCCAGGCAAACUUUAAGAUAAAAAUAAAAUAAAAAGUUUAAGAAACUUUUUUAAGAAACGCUCCUCCUUUUAAAGACAGAUGCAGAGCAAUGACAUGAUAAAAUGCUACACUACUACCUCUCAUUCUAGAUUGACUUCAUUCCCCAGCGUGGUCCUGAGGCUGGGGAAUGACAUCCACCAGGAGCCAUAGCUUGUGCAAGGAUUUAGUGAGGAUGGUAAUGAUAAAAAGUCCCUGCUUGGAUUCUUCUAUUUCUAGUUGUUUGUUUGCUUGUUUUUACCUUGUCACACUAAUGAUGUUUUCACAAUUCCUUGAUUCUUUUUUUAACAGACCUUUGGCUGAAUAUAGGUCUGGUAAGUGAAUUUUCAUUACACUGAAUAGUCACACUGAAUAGUUAUCUUGACUCCUAGUGCAAAUUGAAUUAUUGUAUUUAGAUGGUACUUGGAUUUAGUCAAACUAGUUUAUUUUUCAAGUUAAUUUCUGAGACUUUUCCCCAAAGAGGCAUGUCAUGCAUGGUUUUCAUUGAGAAACAUCCUAAUUACAAAUAGAAACAUAGAUAUAUCUUCAGAAAGGGAAUUUUACAAACAUCCUGUAUCUCACUACGCAGUAAACCUCCUUUCAAAUGCAGACAUAAAUGCAUCAAUUACAAACUAGCUGUUAUGUCACAAUUUAUGAAGUAGAUACAUAGGAAAUUAAAUCAAGUGUGUAGCUCAUCUGUGUAAGUUAUCUUCACUGGAGUCUUUAAUGACUAGCUUACACAGACGAGAUACACAUUACGCAAAUCACAGAUGCUAUUCCAUCAGGGUGCUACCAACCUUCUAUUUUCCUUUCCUCCAAAGGCAAAACUUGGUUGGUCCAAAGAAAUGAAAUUGUUGUUCUGACAGCAUGAUGCCUCUUCACAAAGGAUAUAGGAACAAAUUACAGACUUGUCAUCUUCUGAGUGAAUUUUCUUGAGUACCUCUUGCCCGAUCUUGCUUAUAUUAUAGAGGCUCUGUGCAGGUCCUGAAGCAGUGGAGCCACUUGUUGGCUGGGAACCUAGAGUUUAUCUGUGUUACAGUGACCGAACAGCAGUUAGGGAAUGGAGUGGACUAGGAUUAAAAGAUUUCAAACACGUGGGAUAUGUGAAGUUUGAGGGAAGGUACCCUUUAGUGAUCGUGCUAAUAGAACAGGAGUAGCUCUCUUAUAAAGACCAGGUAAUUGUUUCUCUCCAAACAUCUAUAAAAAAGGAUCUUGAGUUUUUUGUUUUGCUUAAUUCAAGCAUACAGAAUGAAACAGCAGAAAUUCUACUCUGUCAAAAACAAUGACAGAACCCUGGCAGUGAGAAAUUGCAGCAAAAAGAGCUGUUUUCUGGAGGAGUGAGAUAUUGACCCAAAGUAACUCCACAUAAUCUCUUCAAUAUUCUCGCAAGGUUUCCCUGGUAAAGAUGUUCCCUUCUGAGAGUUAAUUCUGGUGCAGAACAGAGGCUGUGAUGUAAAUAUCUUUUAAUUAUUUUCCGUCAACUGGAUGCUAGAUUUUCUGUAACAAUAGUGCUUUUUCACCAUAGAAGUGCCAGUUUUAUCCUCCUGUACAAGGUGAAAAUGUUUUGUACUUUCGCAUUGGGAUAGAUAUGAAUUGGGCAAUAUUGUAUUUCAAGAAAAUCUUGUUCGGUGUCACCUGUAGACUGUUCAGUCCAGCAAUUGAGAACUUGCUCUCUUCUGCUUCUCAAGCAUGGAAAAAAGUCCUUGACUUACCUAUGUCUCCAUGGCAUCUAGAAACUUGAAGACUCCAGCCCAUAAGCUUUACACAUGAACCUGCUUCUUACUCAUGCAGAUAGAUAAUUAGUAUUAUUGGGAUGAGCUGCAUAAGGAGGCCUUACAGAAUGGCUAUUACAAAUCACCCACAUGCAGGACAAAAGAGUUGAGAAAAUCUGUAGAUUUGGCAAAAUGGCCUUGGUCUUGCAGCGUAAGACUUCAGCUUAGGUGAUGCCUGUUCUACAUACAUGUGCAUGCAUGCUACCCUGCCUCUUACAUGGUUAAACCCUGUGGAUGAGCUCUGGGACCCCCUUUGCCUAGCCCUUGGGUCAUGUGGAGAGCCUGGGGUUAACGGAGAGCCAGACCUUUGGGAUGGGCAUUUAUCCCUUUCUCAGGAUGACAUGGUUGGACUGACAGGCCUUCGCAGAGCUUUGGGCUCAGCUACAGUAACUAACAGCUGGGAAGGAGACACAGUAACUAACAGCUGGGAAGGUGACAUCUGAACCCACCUCUCCAGCUGCAAAUUGCCAUCUCCCAGUUGAGCUCAUAUCUCACUCCAUGCUUAAUCCUUUUCCUGCUUGUGCAGCAAAGGUUUUAACCCAUGUGCUGAAGUCUGGGUUAGGAUUUUGAAAUCAGCCUUGCUACUCAUUUGGUCCCAUGAGACAUUCCCUUACCUGACCUAAUGUGCCUGGAGUCACACCCACCAAUAGGCUUGUCUUAAAGUAAAUUGAUUCCUAUCAAAGGUGCUGAGAUCUUUUGAAGGUGACAGAAAGCAGUCAGGCACAGAAGGACAAGCAGUGUCUGUCCAGAGGGAAAACCUGCCAUAGACACACUUAUCAUUUCCCUGGAAAACACGAUUUCACUUUCAAGUGUGGAAGAGGCUAUCUGAAAGCGUUCAGGAUCAAUCAGUUUCAUAAAGGCAUUCAGAGAGAUUCAGGCUUGGAUCUUAUCAUCUUAACUAUAUGACAAAUAAGAGGUGGGGAAAACAUUCUCCUCAUGAAACAAUAAGUUAGGGGCUCCACUGCCAUGCUAUCCUUGCCACUUCCAGUAAGUGUAUUAUGAGCUUCCAGUAGGCUUAUUGCAAUACUAAUAAUGACAUUAUUAGCAUAUUAGUAUUGUUUGAAAUUUACCUGAGAUAUAGAUUUUAAAAAAGUUAAAAGGAAGCUUAAUUUUUUUUAAAGAAGCUUAAAUCUCUGUGUUAUUAGACUAAUGAAAUUUUAGUAGCCAUUCUUGGUUACCCAGGUGAUCUUUUCCAGUUCUACCCAUUUCAGAAAUUUAAAUCUUUAAAUACAAAGAAUAAAAUAUUAAAAAGCUUCUGUGUGGGAUAAGGAGCUCUUCUUGCUUCAUCAGUGCUCACUCGGUGGCUUACCACAAGCCUCCCAGAACCACUCAAAUCCUGUGCUGCCAUUGCACAAUAAGUACUACAGAGCUCCCUCAGACUACCAAAAAGUCCAGUCCAACUAAUGAGCCAGAUCCCACCUCUGCCAUUAGACACCAUAAGAGCAAAGAACAAGGAGGUGAUCCCAGAGAGGAGCCAUAAGGACCACCAUGGAUGUUCAGCUUGUUAGUGGCCUUCUCUAGUUUUGCACCAUGUAUCUUUUAAAUCAAGUAUUAGUUGAGCAGUAACUACCUCUGGAGUGUGAUGAAAACAAAGGAAUAAUUCAUUCAUCCUUCAUGUGGAGACUUAGAAAUUUCAGAGAUUAAUAUCUACCUCAUCUCUAUGGUUUGCUGCUUCCAUCUCCUGUGUCAUUUUGAGGAUUACUGUUCUGCCUCUCUGACUGAGUUUCUUGUUAUGACUUCUCUUUAGUGUCUUCAUUUCCUCACAUGAACUGGGUUAUAUUGGAAGCUGUUAUAUGGAUUUUUUUGCGCUGAUGUAUUAGGGAUGGCUUCUGAAUUCACUGUCAAGUGGGAGUGAAUGCAAGCAGGCUCGAGAGAAAAGGCACACUGAAUCUGCAUCUUCCUGUGAUCACCGACUUUCCUCUUGUAGCCAAUGAACCUUUCUAUUCCGUUGUGAAAAGAUUAAAUGAGAAGAUGGCGAUGGGGAAUCUAAUGACUCUUUACAGUGCCUCUUCCGCUUUUUCUUUCUAUCAGUGAUGACUUGGACUUCCUAAAUAGUUUUCCAAAGAAGAGGACAGCUGAUUAGUCUCUGAAUCAUACACAUACCAGUAGAAGAAUGUGGAGCUCUCUUGCAAACUUUAAGGUUUAACGUUGUAAUAGCCUUCAACUUUUUAAAGGGUUGCUGUUC